rnacentral:tRNA from 1 species
GGUUCCGUAGCCAAGGGGUAAGGCAAGGGUCUGCAACACCCUGAUCGUGAGUUCAAAUCUCACCGGAACCUCCA